UUUCUUUCCACUCUUGUCUAGGUUAAAUGAGGUUCAAACUGCUUUUGGUAUUUUUUGGAAAUCUAGAUGACACCGGCUGUGAACAGGCUGAGAGGUGAGGGAACACAAACUGUGACCAAUAUCAAUGCAUUGCGAGAUCUGCCUCCUACGAAUAGCAAAGUCACCUGAAACUCCCAGUCCUUCAGAAACCCUCCCUUACCUUCUCUGCAGCCGAGCCAGCACCUUGGAAUCUUUAGUCCAUGUAAUGGUGGAGUCACCAUGAAUGUCACCAAACUGACAGCACAGCUUAAUACUGCCAGAGCAGUCGGGGAAUAACUCUGCUUGGAUCUUCUUCAGCAGCCUGGGGGCUGGAAACACAAGAACAACAGUUUAGGAUUUCAAGGCAAUUAUAUUGUUCUGGCAUUUUAACAUUUCAUGUAAAGAACACGAAUGCUGAAGUCUCUGGUCGCAGUGGAUCCAUUCCUGUCUGUGGCCAUUGGAUUUGGCUCCAAGCACUCCUGGGUACUUGAGAGGACAUUGUUUGCUGAAACACAAAUGGGUGGCAUUUCCCUCUCAUUCCCAGUGCCAGAAUCUGGACAGACACCAUCUGUACCUACCACUUGUGCAAGACAAGUGUUUCCUACGGAUACACUCUCCUGUGCUGCAGCUCUCUGCAGGUGGAUAUCAGAAACCUUGCAGAAAUCUUUCUCAGUUCUGGGGUUAUGGGCUGGUUCUGUGAUGGGCUCCUGCUCUUCUGUCAAAUCCAUUGGCAAAGGAUGAUCGGAACAGAUCUCCUGCGCAAAGUUCAGCUCUGGAACUUUGAUAUCUGUCAGCUUUGUACCUAAACUUGGGAUGACUCUGCUUUCAAAUGGGAUUUGAUAGUCUGAGUCAUCUCCAUGAAGAAGUUUCCACAGCUUGUCACGCACUGCAGAUAUAUCAGCAUCUCCUUUGCACUCGGGCUCUCGGGAUUCCAGGACUGAUUUGGGAUUAGCUUCAGACACAGCCUGGUUGGCUGAUCGGUUGCAGAGAAUAUCUGGGUUACUGCUGUCAGGUAUGUCAAGCCUAGACAUUUGCUCUCCCUCCCCUGGCUCAUCACACAGCUUUGCAGAAGAGAAAACAGCACACAAGCGUUCCUGUUUAUCAGGAGCAGAGUCCAUAUCCCAUAGAGGAGAAGGGGAAAUGUCAUUCUUUGACUUUUUGCCAUUACUAAUCAUUUCUUGUCCAGGGAAGAGCUGUUGGUGACAGCUUUCUCUCUUUUCACAAGGAGCACACUGAAGAGAAGAGGUCUGUAAAUCUGCAUUCUUUACUUGCAGCAUCUUUUCAGUGGAGAGCUGGCUGGUUCCUGAACUCUCACAAGCCGUGAAGGUCCCUUCCUUUUCUGUUCUGGGCUCCACACAGAGGUUCUCACAAUUCUGGGUAACGCUUUUAAGAUUAGCACCUUGACUCUUCAAAGAAGGAAAACAGAGCAAUGUAAUUAAAAAUUAGAACUAC
rnacentral:lncRNA from 12 species